rnacentral:rRNA from 1 species
UUCUAUUAGAAUUAUUAAUAGUAAAAUCUGCUCACUGAUUUUAUAAAUAGCCGCAAUUUGUGCUAAGGUAGCAUAAUAAUUUGUCUUUUAAUUAAAGACUAGAACAAAAGAUUCAACAUUUUACUUUAUCUUAUUAUUCAAAAUAAUUAAAUUUUCUUUAAAUGUAAAAAAGCAUUUCCUCUAAAAAGAAAGACGACAAGACCCUAUUGAACUUAACUUAAGUUAAACUGGGGCAGUUCAUUAAUUAUUAUUUUAAUUUAAUUAAUAUAAUAAAUAUCUAAUAAAAUUAAAUUAUUCAGUUACCAUAGGGAUAACAGCGUAAUUAUUUAUUACAGAUCAUAUAUAAAAAUUAGAUUACGACCUCGAUGUUGAAUAAUUACCUAAUUAAGGUAAAUCUUAAAUAAGGAAGUCUGUUCGACUUUUAAAAAAUUACA